UGAGUACGAGAUGCUACGGCAUCGAAGCAGUCUAUGUCAUACUUCCAAGAAAAGCUUGCACUGUCAUAAACAAAGAAUGCCUGUACCAUAACCGACACAGGUGGGUAGGUAGAGUAUACUAAGGGGCGCGAGAUAACUCUCUCUAAGGAACUCGGCAAAAUGACUCCGUAACUUCGGGAGAAGGAGUGCCUUAUUUCUAAGGUUGCAAUAACAAGAUCCAAGCAACUGUUUACCAAAAACACAGGUCUCCGCUAAGUCGUAAGACGAUGUAUGGGGGCUGACGCCUGCCCAGUGCCAGAAGGUUAAAGAAGUUGGUUAGCAUUAGCGAAGCUGAUAACUGAAGCCCUGGUGAACGGCGGCCGUAACUAUAACGGUCCUAAGGUAGCGAAAUUCCUUGUCGGGUAAGUUCCGACCCGCACGAAAGGCGUAAUGAUUUGGAUACUGUCUCGGAGAGGGGCUCGGUGAAAUAGACUUGUCUGUGAAGAUGCGGACUACCUGCACCUGGACAGAAAGACCCUAUGAAGCUUUACUGUAACUUGAGAUUGAAAUUGGACUUUAUUUGCGCAGUAUAGGUGGGAGGCGUUGAGAAUAAUCUUGCGGGAUUGUUGGAGCCAUCAGUGAGAUACCACUCUUGUAAUGUUAGAUUUCUAACUUUGUAUCAUUAUCUGGUCAAAGAACAGUUUCAGGCGGGCAGUUUGACUGGGCGGUCGCCUCCCAAAGGGUAACGGAGGCGCACAAAGGUUUCCUCUGAACGGGUAGAAAUCGUAUCUAGAGUGUAAAGGCAUAAGGAAGCUUGACUGUGAGACCUACAAGUCGAGCAGGGACGAAAGUCGGUCUUAGUGAUCUGACGGUGCUGAGUGGAAAGGCCGUCACUCAACGGAUAAAAGUUACUCUAAGGAUAACAGGCUGAUCUCCCCCAAGAGUUCACAUCGACGGGGAGGUUUGGCACCUCGAUGUCGGCUCAUCGCAUCCUGGGGCGGUAGUCCGUCCCAAGGGUUGGGCUGUUCGCCCAUGAAAGCGGUACGCGAGCUGGGUUCAGAACGUCGUGAGACAGUUCGGUCCAUAUCCGGUGUAGGCGUUAGAAUAUUGAGAGGAGCCUUCUCUAGUACGAGAGGACCGAGAAGGACAUACCUCUGGUGUACCAGUUAUCGUGCCAACGGUAAACGCUGGGUAGCUAUGUAUGGAGUGGAUAACCGCUGAAAGCAUCUAAGUGGGAAGCCCACCUCAAGAUAAGUAUUCUCAUC
rnacentral:rRNA from 1 species